ACCUAGUUUAUUCAGCUCCCCUCCCCCACACUAGUUUGAGCACGUGAUCAACUAGGAGCGCGGUUCAUACAGCAGCAACAAAGCUUUGCAAGAAGAGUUGAGUGUUGCAGUCGUGUCCCCAGAAAAUCUAAUUCGUUUUUUUCUGCUUUGGACAUCGAAACUGUAUAAUACGAAUUGCAUCCAAUAAGUAAAUAAUAAUGAUGUUUCAUCACAAUUCCAUAUUAGCAUUUGGGAAUAAUGUUGCUUUCAGAACAAUUACAAUAUUUUAAGUCGUUUUUAAAAUAUGUGUGUGUGUGUAUAUACUGUAUAUAUAUACAGUAUGUAUAUACACACACAUGUAUAUAUGCUGUGCUCAUUUUAGGAGUACAUGACAUUGGUGUAAACAAGAGUUCAUAAAAUAUGUUGAUAUUGCUUGACAUUUACUAUGCCCCACUUCAAAACGGACCUCAGAGGAAAAGUGAAGGAGUUUUGGUUAUGAAGGGGCGGGGCUGUUUUCACACCCCAAAACGUCACAGUUACGUUGCAGGAAACGAGUUUCUACAGCUACCCUCCCCCACAUCACACUCGCUGACCAUCAAUUAGGAAACGCGCGCUUUGCUACCUGCACAAAAGGAAGGCGUUGAGAAGAGUGAGCGUACGAGUCAGCAUCAUCGAGAAAACCCCAGAAAGUGACAAAUACUUCAGAAUUAAAGCAGAUGGACAAUCCCACUGAAGAUGGUGAUUAUUCUGACUCAAGUCUUUUUGGAUCAGAUGAGGAAUACAAACCAACUAAGACAUCCUCUGAGUCGAGUGAUGACGAGGAGAUAUUCCAUCCAAAGGUAGAAAAAUUGUUCUUAUGAUACAUCCAGUGAAGACUCUACAAGUCAUCAGACAUAUGAAGCAGAGGAGCACAGUCAUGUCUGCAAUUCGUAAAGAAGCCCCAAAAAGGGAAAAGCAUCUCUCCAAAAGAGGGAAGACUGAAUUGGAUGGUAAGCUUUGGAUGAGGAA